rnacentral:rRNA from 1 species
AUUGAACGCUGGCGGCAUGCCUUACACAUGCAAGUCGAACGGCAGCAUGAUCUAGCUUGCUAGAUUGAUGGCGAGUGGCGAACGGGUGAGUAAUACAUCGGAACGUGCCCUGUCGUGGGGGAUAACUAGUCGAAAGAUUAGCUAAUACCGCAUACGACCUGAGGGUGAAAGUGGGGGACCGCAAGGCCUCAUGCUAUAGGAGCGGCCGAUGUCUGAUUAGCUAGUUGGUGAGGUAAAGGCUCACCAAGGCGACGAUCAGUAGCUGGUCUGAGAGGACGAUCAGCCACACUGGGACUGAGACACGGCCCAGACUCCUACGGGAGGCAGCAGUGGGGAAUUUUGGACAAUGGGCGAAAGCCUGAUCCAGCAAUGCCGCGUGUGUGAAGAAGGCCUUCGGGUUGUAAAGCACUUUUGUCCGGAAAGAAUGGCUCUGGUUAAUACCUGGGGUCGAUGACGGUACCGGAAGAAUAAGGACCGGCUAACUACGUG